UAGGGAAUCUUCGGCAAUGGACGAAAGUCUGACCGAGCAACGCCGCGUGAGUGAAGAAGGUUUUCGGAUCGUAAAACUCUGUUGUUAGAGAAGAAUAAGGGUGAGAGUAACUGUUCACCCCUUGACGGUAUCUAACCAGAAAGCCACGGCUAACUACGUGCCAG
rnacentral:rRNA from 1 species